GACACGACUCUCGGCAAUGGAUAUCUCGGCUCUCGCAUCGAUGAAGAGCGCAGCGAAAUGCGAUAUGUGGUGCGAAUUGCAGAAUCCCGCGAACCAUCGAGUCUUUGAACGCAAGUUGCGCCUGAGGCCAAUCGGUUAAGGGCACGUCCGCCUGGGCGUCAAGC
rnacentral:rRNA from 1 species